rnacentral:rRNA from 1 species
AGUGAACGCUGGCGGUAGGCCUAACACAUGCAAGUCGAACGGCAGCACAGUAAGAGCUUGCUCUUACGGGUGGCGAGUGGCGGACGGGUGAGGAAUACAUCGGAAUCUACUUUUUCGUGGGGGAUAACGUAGGGAAACUUACGCUAAUACCGCAUACGACCUACGGGUGAAAGCAGGGGAUCUUCGGACCUUGCGCGAUUGAAUGAGCCGAUGUCGGAUUAGCUAGUUGGCGGGGUAAAGGCCCACCAAGGCGACGAUCCGUAGCUGGUCUGAGAGGAUGACAAGCCACACUGGGACUGAGACGCGGUCAAGCAUCCUGCGGGAGGCAGCAGUGGGGAAUAUGGGACAAUGGGCGCAAGCCUGAUCCACCCAUAGCGCGUGGUUGAAGAAGCCCUUCGGGUUGUAAAGCCCUUUUGUUGGGAAAGAAAAGCAGCAGGUGAAUACCCCGAUGUUCUGACGGUAGCCAAAGAAUAAGCACCGGCUAACUUCGUG